rnacentral:misc_RNA from 1 species
GAUGAAGAACGUAGCGAAAUGCGAUAAGUAGUGUGAAUUGCAGAAUUCAGUGAAUCAUCGAAUCUUUGAACGCACAUUGCGCCCCUUGGUAUUCCAUGGGGCAUGCCUGUUCGAGCGUCAUUUGUACCUUCAAGCUUUGCUUGGUGUUGGGUGUUUGUCUCGCCUUUGCGUGUAGACUCGCCUUAAAAUAAUUGGCAGCCGGCGUAUUGAUUUCGGAGCGCAGUACAUCUCGCGCUUUGCACUAUAACGACAGCGUCCAAAAGUACAUUUUACACUCUUGACCUCGGAUCAGGUAGGGAUACCCGCUGAACUUAAGCAUAUCAAUAAGCGGAGGA